UACAGAGGUCCCAAGCGCUGUUCGGAUUCACUGGGCGUAAAGGGUGCGUAGGUGGUGAGGUAAGUCGGAUGUGAAAGCUCGGAGCUCAACUCCGAAAUGGCAUUGGAAACUACCUUGCUCGAGGGCUGGAGGGGGGACUGGAAUGCUUGGUGUAGCAGUGAAAUGCGUAGAUAUCAAGCGGAACACCAGUGGCGAAGGCGAGUCCCUGGACAACUCCUGACACUGAGGCACGAAAGCUAGGGGAGCAAACAGG
rnacentral:rRNA from 1 species